rnacentral:lncRNA from 1 species
AUUUCAUAUGAAGUUACCCUAGCCAUCAGCCUAUUAUCAGUUCUACUGAUAAGCAGCUCAUUCAAUUUAUAUAUACUUAUCACAACACAAGAAUCCCUCUGACUACUCUUACCAUCAUGACCCCUAGCCAUAAUAUUAUUUAUUUCUAUAUUAGCAGAAACUAACCUAGCCCCUUUUGACCUAACAGAAGGAGAAUCAGAGUUAGUCUCAGGUUUCAACAUCGAAUAUGCCACAGGUCCAUUUGCCCUCUUCUUUAUAGCAGAAUACAUGGAUAUUAUAAUAAUAAAUUCCCUAACUACUACAAUUUUCCUAGGUACAAUUAUACUCUAUGUAUUCACCGGAAUUCUAUACUACGUAUUUCAUUACCAAGACCCUCCUCUUAACCUCCCUAUUUUUAUGAAUUCGAACAGCCUAUCCCCAAUUCCGCUAUGAUUAACUUACACAUCUUCUAUGAAAAAACUUUCUACCACUUACACUAGCAUUCUGUGUAUGAUAUAUCUCAGUACCCAUCAUAAUCUCCAGCAUCCCACCCCAAACG